GUCUUCCUAUUUUUACUACAAGGAAUAUUUCACACACACACACACACACACAAUCCAUGGUGACACCACUUUUAUAAUCUAUUUUUUUAAAGCAAGAAUGCUUUGUAGAUGGGAGGUUGGGGAGCCAUGCCAUGGGCUAAGUUAUACAACUUAUUUUGUUCUCUUGGGCAUGUUGUGCCAUUUGCUUCAUCUGUAAAUUAAGGAUAAUAACCCUCUGCUUUAUGCUGGUUUUCACAUAUGUCUGUAAAUUCUUUCACGCUCGUUCCUUCAAAAUGUAGAACAUAUUUUCACUCUUUAUCGUGGGGAAGAUGCAGUGACUCACUUCUAAUAAGUAGAUAUGGUGGAUGUGAACACUUUUUCAGCCUGGUUCUCUGUCUCUGUUUCUGUAUCUCUCUCUUUUCAGUGCACUCCCCCUGGGGGAAGCCAGUGGCCACGUCUGGGGAUGCUCAAGCAGCUUUGUGAAGAGGCCUGUAAGGAGAGGAGCAGAGGCGUCCUGAUAACAGCCAGAACCAGCUCUCUGCUCGUGUGAGUAUAACCUUGGAAGCGUAACCUGCCGCCCCAGUCAAGCCUUCAGACAGCCGCAGCCCUGGUGGACACUGACUGCCACCUUGAGAGACAGCCUGAACCAGAACUCCCAGCUAAGUCACUCCUGAAUUUCAGACCCACGGGCACUGUGAGAGCCAGUGUUUAUUGUUGUUUUUAAGCUACUGCAUUUCUAGGUAAUUUUAUCUACAAAACCAGACAACUAAUAUAGUCCUUUUCUCCUAAUACCAUUCUGAAGAUCAAAAGAGACACCAUGUGCAAUUGCUAGCAUAUGAUAGUAACUUACUGCAUCUUUGUUCUUUAUUCCUAUCUGGCAAUGACCAGACAUGAUUACGACUCUGUACUGCCUUCUCCAACACUCCCUGAUGCAACAAGUUCUUAAAGUGUAAGUGAACCCUGUCAAAAACAGAGGAGGAGCCAGCCUACAUUGGUUCAACCUAAAGCCUCUUUCUUGUUUAUUCUAACUAGAUACUUCACUGUCAAAGUUGUGAAAGUCCAUUCUAAUGCCUUCUAAAAUUGUAUCAAGAAGGAUGGCAUGUGAUUAAAAAAGCAACAUGCAGAAGAAAAUAUCAUCGAGAAGCUGCCCUGAGGGUGGGGUUUUUACCUCAUUGUCUCAGGCCCAUCAGUAAAAAAUAAAACAAAGAGGAAAACAAGCCAGAGAGUUAAAACUCUAAUAAAUAAUAAUUAUACAAAGAGUGACAACAUUAGCAAUGCCAAUAAAAUGUAUUUAGCAGUAUAGUAUGCUGCAUGGUUUAUCUGGUUCUUCUCACUUAAUCUUGCCUAGGAGUACAUAAGGUAAGUGCUGUUAUUAUGCCCUGUUUACAGAUAAUAAAACUGGCUCAGAGAGGCUGAAUAUUCUGUAAGACUAUGCAUAUAGUAAGAGGAACAACUCAGGAUUCAUUCUUAAAAUGAAUCCAAGUCUGCACUCUUCACAUUUAUGCUACAUCAUGUUCCUAAAGAAAAUGGCAACAAAACAAAUAUCCACUUUGGAGGAAAAACAUAAGAGAUUUGCAAGCAAGUAUCACAUUUUCAGUAGAAAAUGCUAAUAUUCUUCAUUGCAUUUUUCCUCCUUUUAGUUUAUACCUUUAUGCUCCUUUCACAUCCUGCCCAGUUCUAGCUGAUACUGGAAUUGCUUCGAUUUUUUUUUCUUUUAUAUUAUGCACAUUAUGUGGCUGUCAUUAAAAAAAAAUCCCAGUUUGGCUUACACUUCAGGGUAAAUUUACAAUAUAAUGAUACAUUAUUAUCAUUGUCUGUUAUUGUUAUUAAUGAUAUCUCUUAUUAUCACAGUGAAGAUUCUAACAGAGAUUGGACUUGAUUUGAAACCAUUUAAUAUUCUGUCCGUACCCUCAGCCUGGCCUUCAAGCUGUAGAGGGAAUUGAUAAAGGAUCACAAAAUCAGAUAAGCAACUACAUCAUGGACAUGGCAGCCCUCCAAGACAACUUCAUUAUCAUCUAUCAGCCCUAUGAAUGGCCAAGAAACCACAAAAGCAGCUGAGAACACUAGAGCUUCCUUACAAUCCUCUUAAGAAGGCAGUACACAAAAAACAUGAAACAAAGGGUUGACAUCCUUCCUAGAGCCCCCAAGGUUGACCAAUGGAGCAGUAAAGACUGGAUGUGUCCUUCACAAAAUUGGCCCGAGAGUGCUUGGAUACAGUUUUGAAGUUGUUUCUCACUUUCACAAAUUGAGAGUUCCAUAUACAAUUUCAUAUUCUUUUGUGUUUUUUUGAAAAAUUAAAAGUGCUGACAACGUGGGCUGAAGCUAAAGAACAGCUGCCCAGUUUAGAAGAACUGCCUCUUCCCAAGCUCUCCUCCAUCUCUAUCACUCCCCGUUGUCAUAGACACCUGCCCUGGCACAUCACCCCGUUGCGUUUUUUUAGGCACGUGGACUUGUAACUUCCAAACGGUACUCACAGCUCUAUGAUGACAAAGAUUCCAUGUGUCCCAGCGUGGGGUUUAGCAGAUACAAGUACUUAAAUAAUUGCAGAAUGACAGAAUCUACAUUUUUCCUUUUCUUUACAUGUUUACAAAAAGGGCAUCUGAAUGGAUCAGCCAAAUCUGUGGGAAUUUCGCACUGGAGAAAAGGUAGAUGAAAAAUAUCUGAGUGGAAAAGCACAACAAAACAAAGCUCAUCUAGCUCUCUAUAGAGCCUUGCUCAUAUAAUAAGGUGACAAAACUUGGGACUUUUCAUAAUUUAUAUUCUAGCCAUCUUGAAUUAUGUAUCCAAACACAUGACCUUGGCUCAGGCCUCUGAAUUGUUCCUUUCUGGUCUGAUUAACUCCUAUUCAUUCUCCAGGUCAAAAAGGCAAUACCUCAUCCAAGUCAUGCCAUAUCCCAGUCAACUGACAAAUUUAUUUGCCUUCUAUGCUACCGCUUGUCUUUGUACAUAUUUAUAUUGUGACACCUGUCACACAGUAUCACUACUGUGCAUGUCUUCUUUCGAGAAUUUUGUUUAUGAAAGAUAGACUUUGCCUCUUAUUUAUCAUUAUCCUCAACCUUUAGCAUAAAGCCCAAUGCAAAAUAAAUAUGCAGUGAACUUAAUCUCUAGUCUUCUCUGAAGACUUAAAGAUGAGCCAAGGAAAGUUUACCAUGUUCAGGGUGCAGUUGUCCUGGGUUUACUUGGUUCUCAGCUGUAUCACAAGAAAGCGUGGUGUUGAGAACCUCCAACGAGGAAACAAACGUGCAAAUGGGGAGAAUCAGCAAAUUAUCCAGGUCAUUGAUGACAGUUAAAAUAAACCCAAGAUAAUUGAUUACACUGUAAUUGAUAGUUCUGAAAAGCAUUAGAAAAUAAAAUUUAAUGUUCCAUAUAUUUCCAAUUUAUCCUAUGGAUUCUUUGGAGAUACUAUUGUUUAUUUUAGCUUUUAAUGAGAAACCAGCCAUCCUAAUCAUCCUGUCAAUGUUGAAUAGGACAGUACAAGGGAUUUACAUGAAGUACAGAAAGUAUAUGUUUGUGUGUUAGUUGAUAUGAGUAACGAAGCUGAACAAAAUCCAUAAAACACACUAUUAAAGGGAUAUGCAAUAUCCUACAGUUCUUACUGGAGAGAAUUACAUGAUUAAAAAAAUUAAACAAGAGUUGUCAUGAAAAUAUAACCAUCCUCAGAACUCAGCAAUUAACAGCUUAUUACCCAUUGUUUUAAUAGUCAUCAUUUCAGAAGUAAUUCACAAAAAAGUUCCUCGCUGAUUGUGGUGAGCAGCUGGAUGGUGGCCUGUCAAUGUGAUAGGCUGCACUGCAGAGUCCCAGAUUUCUUCCUAAACCUUGAGUAAAGAGAAACACUUCCUGCUUGUACUCUUCAAGCUCUGGACUCCAUAAUUAGGAAUUUUCUACUGGAGAAUUGAACGUGUUCAUCUAUCUAACCCCCCACGGACUCACACACACCUGUGGACAGUCUCACUACAAUUAUUUUCUGUAAUUAAACUAACUUUCAAGAUUAACAGUGCAAACGAACAAUGCCAAUUGCUUCUCCAGAGGUUUGUCCUACUGGGGAUAUGAUCUAAUGGACCACUAGAUCAAAAGACUGGAAACAGAGCCGAAGGCCCAAGGGAGGACUUGCAAAGGCCCACUUAUGCUGGCCUGUGUUUCUGUCAUCACCCACAGAUGUCAUUUCCUAUUUUACACAUAUGAGAGCGAGGUUGUUAUUUGCUUUACCUUGUCUUACCACCCAUUCUAGAGUCCUUUGUGUUUAAAAGGGACAUUUCCAAUGGCUCAAUCUCCAAGUGAGGGUAUAUCUUGUAAUAUUAAUGCAUUUUCACCCUGCACAUGUAAAACUGAAAUUUUGUUCAUUUUAUUGGGUUGUACAAUAGUCCAUUUCAUUAUGGAAAGCUAGCCCAGGCUAGCAUUUCAGAUGUCUCACAGUCAUUAAGCCAUGCCCUUCUUAUCUAUGGUUUCUGACACGUCUUACAGUCAUCCAUUGAUUGGCAGCUUUCUAUGCCAGCAUUUGGAAACUUACUUACAAGGGAGAACAACAGAAUUGUGUCAGUGGUCUCUGGGGUCUAAUUAAUAGUUAACAAUGAUGAUGAUGAUGAUGAUGAUGAUGACAAUAAUAAUAAUAAUAAUAGAAAUAAUGAGCAGUUAGACAAAUAGCCACACAGAAACAAGCAGGAGUUCUUCAGACUUCCAGUAAUAAAUCUUAGUGGGUUUUGUGGGUCACUCUGACAUCAAAAUCUUGUCCAAUAUCUUAAAGUCAGAACAUCCUAAAAACACAUAUUUUACUUAAGUAUAGGGGCCACAACCACACAUUUAAAAUGCAUUUCAUUAACAUACUGAUUUUAAGUUUAAGGAAUGCUCAGGAGAUGAACUACUCUAGGAUACAAUUAUCUUUACCGCCACCAUCCCAAAUGGCCAUUUGGAGCAUAAUUAUCAGCCAAUGUACUUCAGUUACUAUUACUCCUCACUUCCAUUUCAAAUGCUGCUUGUGAGUGAAUGGUGUUCUUAGACACAACAGAAGCAAUUUGUUCCUGCUAAUGAAAUUAAAAUAUGAAGAACAGCAGUGGAAGAUGGCACAACUGAUAAAAUGGGUUACUUCAUUCACUAUGAGUCAUUGAUAGGGCACAUUUGAGUCACAGCGACGCAGCCUCACAGGAAACAAUAUUUGCUUCACUAAUAAAAUCUAGAGGCAACGCCUUCCCAUCUCUGGCUAAAACACAGUAAAAUAGGAAAUAGGGAGAAUAUUGUCUUUGUGUCUGUCAGACAUCCUUAUUAGCCCUGCUGAGUUGAUUCAGUCAGAACAUCAUUUUGAGGUGGUAGUUUGGUGGAAAUAAAAGCAUUUUUGACCCAUAUCAUUUAUUUUCUCUUUAGAGCGGGUAAAAGUGACGUCAAAAUCUGCAUGUUUGGAAUAUACAGUCCCUGAUCUCAGG